AUACGGAGGGGGCUAGCGUUGUUCGGAAUUACUGGGCGUAAAGCGCGCGUAGGCGGUCUGUUAUGUCAGAUGUGAAAGUCCUCGGCUCAACCGGGGAAGUGCAUUUGAAACUGGCAGACUUGAGUACUGGAGGGGGUGGUGGAAUUCCCGGUGUAGAGGUGAAAUUCGUAGAUAUCGGGAGGAAUACCGGUGGCGAAGGCGGCCACCUGGCCAGAUACUGACGCUGAGGUGCGAAAGCGUGGGGAGCAAACAGGAUUAGAAACCCGAGUAGUCC
rnacentral:rRNA from 1 species